rnacentral:lncRNA from 1 species
GAAGGGACUAUAUUUUCACUAUAUUUUCAACUAAUUAAUCUCCAGGUAAAAGAUUCUACUACUAGCCUCUUACAUUAUGUUUUACCUUAGUAUGCAUUAACAUAGUUAUGAUGCAUGUGAUGUGACUGUUAAGGAUGUUAGAUAAUGAUAGCAACAUAGAAAAUCGUUAUGUAUGACUGAGAUAUGUGAUGACCAUGAUAUGUUAUGAAUGAGAUAUACUAUGGUUGAGAUAUAUUACGAUUAAGAUAUGAUAUUUAUGUUAUGCUAUAUAUAUAUGCUAUGAUGUUCUGUUAGCUUUACUUGUUAGAGUCGUACCAUGUAGGUGUCCCUCGGGAUCACCACCUAUUUAUGUAUUUGUGGUUAGGUUUGAUGUGUGAUUCGACAAGAUCACUUACAACUUGACUCUUCUUUAGGGUGAUUCCUUCUGCUUCACCAAGAGCCAUAUAUGUCCCUACGAGAUCACUGGAUAGGGUGAUUUCAGUAGAAUAAUAGAUAUGCGGUACUUUCUUAUAGGAGGACUUUAACGUAAAAUUAACAAACACGUAGUGGGACUAAUAGUGGAUCCCUUACUAAGUAUAAAUUUAGACUAACUCCUUUCUAGAUUUAAUUUUUCAGGCAAAGAUAGAAAUAAAGGCAAGUUGGCGAAUGACAAGAAGUGACCAUGGUUCUCCAUAGGGGACAAUUUAUGUUUUAUUUAGCAUUUAUAUUUUCAAUAUUAAAUUUUCAUAAACUUAUUUCAGAACCCAUAUUUACUUUUAGAUAUAUAUUUUUAUUUUAAAUAGGGCCCAAACUAAUAUUUUAUUUAUUGUUUUCUUUACAUACUUUACUUAUAUUUUAUGAAUAAAUAUUUGAAGUGUUUGUUUUAAAACUUAGUAUUUUCUUUGAUUUAAAUAAAAAGUCUUUAUUUGUUUUAGUAGUAAUGACCUCAACUUAGUAUAAAGAGUUGGGUCGUUACACUUUCGAGUUAUGUAGAGGAUGUAAACCUAGUUAAGUCACUCCAUAAUUUGGGGUUGUCCAGCACACGUUUUAGUGUCAAAUUCUAAGAAGUUGGACUCUCGUUCAAGGUUAUGUCAAUUUUUUGGUUAUCCUAAAGAAACGAGAUGUGGUCUAUUCUUCGAUCCACAAGAAAACAAAGUGUUUAUAUUGACAAAGGCUACUUUCUUGGAAGAAAACAACAUGAGAGAUCAUAAACCAUGAAGCAAAUCAAAAUUAAGUGAAGCUACUAAUGAAUCAACAAGGGUUGUUGAUGAAGUUGGUCCCUCAUCAAGAGUUGAGGAAACCAACACAUCCGAUUAGUCUCAUCCUUCUCAAUUGUUGAGAAUGCCUCGAUGCAGUGGGAGAGUUAUAUCACAACCUAAUCGUUACUUCGGUUUAACUGAAACUCAGGUUGUCAUACCAGAUGAUGUCGUUGAGGAUCCAUUGUUCUAUAAAUAGGCAAUGACUGAUGUAGACAAGGACUAAUAGGUUAAAACCAUGGAAUCUAUGUACUUCAAUUCAGUAUGAGAGCUUGUAGAUCUACCUGAAGGGGUGAAACCCAUAGGGUGCAAAUGGAUCUAUAAGAGAAAGAGAGAUUCAGCUGGGAAGGUACAAACCUUCAAAGCUAGACUUUAGCAAAUGGGUAUACCCAAAGGGAAGGGAUUGACUACGAGGAACUUUUUCUCUGUUGCUAUGUUAAAGUCUAUAAGGAUUCUCUUGUCCAUAGUCACUUUUUAUGAUUAUGAAAUAUGACAAAUGGAUGUUAAUACUGCUUUUCUAAGUGGCAAUCUUGAAGAUAGUAUCUUUAUGUCUCAGCCUGAGGGGUUCAUAACCCAAGGUUAGAAACAAAAAGUUUACAAGCUGAAUCGAUCCAUUUAUGGGUUGAAAUAAACAUCUAGAUCUUGGAACAUUAGAUUUGAUAUUGCGAUCAAAUCUUACGGUUUUGACCAAAAUGUUGAUGAGCCUUGUGUAUACAAGAAAAUCAACAAAGAUAAAGUAGCUUUCUUAGUACUUUAUGUGGACGAUAUCCUUCUCACUGGAAAUGAUGUAGGAUACCUAACUAACGUUAAAACUUGGCUACCAGUCCAAUUCUAAAUGAAAGAUUUGGGAGAGGCACAAUUUGUUCUUGGGAUCCAAAUCAUAAGGGAUCGUAAGAACAAAAUGCUAGCACUGUCUCAGGCAACCUAUAUCGACAAAAUAUUGGUUCGAUAUUCGAUGCAAACUCUAAGAAGGAUUUAUUACCUUUCAAGCACGAGGUUUACUUGUCUAAGGAACAAUGUCCUAAGACACCUCAAGAAGUUGAGAAGAUAUGAGACAUAUUCCAUAUGCCUUAGUUGUGGGUAGCUUAAUUUAUGUUAUGUUCUGCACUAGGUUAGACAUUUAUUAUGUAGUGGGAAUAGUCAGUAGAUAUCAGUCCAACUUAGGGUUAGACCACUAGACGACGGUUAAAAUUAUUCUUAAGUAUCUUAGGAGAAUGAGAAACUACAUGCUUGUGUAUGAAGCUAGGGAUUUAAUCCUGAUUUCUAAACAGAUAAGGAUUCUAGGAAAUCUAGUGGGAUUAGUGUUCACCCUAAACGGGAGAACAGUAGCAUGUCAUAGCAUCAAGCAAGGAUGCAUUGUAGACUCUACUAUAAAGGUUGAGUACGUCGUUGCUUGUGAAGCAACAAUAGAAGCAAUUUGGCUAAGGAAGUUUCUGCAAGAUUUGGAAGUUGUUCCAAAUAUGAACAUGCCCAUCACUUUAUAUUUUGAUAUCAAUUGGGCAGUGACCAAUUAUAAGGAACCUCAUAGCCACAAAUGAGGAAAACAUAUAGAGAGAAAAUAUCAUCUGAUACAAGAGAUUGUGCAACAAAGUGAAGUGAUAGUCACCAAGAUCGCUUUGGAGCAUAACAUUGCUGAUCCAUUUACAAAGACUCUCACGGCUAAAGUGUUCGAGGCUCAUCUAGAGAGUCUAGAUCUGUGAGUUUUGUACAUUAGGUAAUCUAGGACAAGUGGGAGAUGUGUAAUGGGUAUGGGGAUGUCCUAGUUUAUUGUAUUGGGGAUUUAAUUGUUGAGUACUACAAAUUUGUAAAUCUACUAAUUUAGAGGAUUUUCUCAUAUCGUGCUUCAUUUCUAAUUCAUUUUAAAGGAUUUCUCUUGAUCUCUAAAAAGAGUGGUCGUAAUGGUUUGAUCCUAAACCGUGGAAAUGAUUGAGCUUGUUCUUACACUUGAAAAAAGGAACGUUGUAUGGACUACUCUAAGCCAUCGAAAGAGUCAAGUUUGAGUGAAAUAACCAAGAGGAGCUUGAAAAGUGGAUGUAGGUCGGUUGUGCCGAGCCACUAUAAAAUUCCGAUGUUAAUUUCUUUAUCUCUCAACUAUUUAAUUUUGCAAUUAAUUUGUUAUCAAAUUUUAGUGUUUGAAAUUAAUUGCAACUUUUGUUCUUGAGAUUAAUUGCUCACUUCUCUAUUUAGGUUGGUUUAAGUUUAUCUUUGCAUAUUUGUGUUACCAAUUUUCUUGUUAUAAACAUUAAAAUGGAUGUUUGAAUUUGUUAACGUCACCUUAUAAGUUAUUUUGAUGUGCAUGCAUUUGUAUGAGAUUAUUGAUUACAUUAUUUAUUAGCAAAAAGUUUGUUAAUUUAUUUAAUUUGGCCCACUUGUUUCAUUAAUUUGUAAAAACCCUAUUCACCCUCUUGAGGAUUCCCAUACCGAUCGUACACGAGAUACAAUUGAAGAUAAUUCAAAUUCUAGAUUAAGUUAAAUAUGUGAUGCUUAACUUAGUAAUUAAUUAAUUGGAAAAGUAAUUAAUUAAAUUAAAUCAUGAAUAAUACACAUAAAUGUAGCAAAACCCAAAAAUAUUUACGUCGCAUGUAACAAAAAAUUAAAGCACAUGAAGCCACCAUUAUUUUUUUUUAUAAAUUUCAGAUUUUCCCUUUGUCAUUAUUUUUGCGCAUUGUGAAACCAUUCUUCACUUCACUUCUUUUUCUUCUUCUUUGCAAUUUAUUCUUCUCUUCUUCGUAUUAUUAAUUUCUUCAUAUUAUUACUUCUCUUUCAUAUUCUCACUUCUUCUUGUCUGUGAUUUCUUCACUUUUUCAAAAUUCUUCCUUCUUCAUCUCUCAUCUUUUUUUUGCUUCUUGGUACAAGAUCUAAAUGAUAUUAGUACAUGAUUUAAAUGAUAAUGUAUCAAUAUCUAAAUCAUCAGUUGUCUAUCCCAGAUAAACAGACAUAGACCACUGUUACUAAUGGAUCGUUUAGAUUUGGUACAAUAUUGUUUAGACUAAAUAAAAGAUCGUUUAUGUUGGGAUUUAUGUCCUAAAACUCGUAGAUUGUAAAUAUAAUCCAUUAAUCGUUGUUAAUAACAUGUUAUUAUUGUAAUAAUUGUUAUUGGUUAUAAUAUUAGUUGUCUUAAUAACUCAAAUCAAACAAACUAACAUCCUAAGUUGUUUAAUGAAUCUUAAACAGUAUGUAGAGACAUACAGGGAUAAAGGUUCAAGAUCAGCUUAAAGGUUCUAUAGUACAAGGAUAAGGCUGAAUACCUAAUCCUGGUAACACUAUGAAUAUGGCUCACUUUGUAUUUGAUACAAACACAAUGAUUCCGCGUUUGUGUAGUUGACAUACGAGUGACGGUAUCUUAUGCAAUAAGUUUACAUAAGAUCAGACGGCAAAAUAAUAACUACUAGAUGAAACUCUGUUUACUAGUAGGUUUCUAUUCAUUAGGAUGACCUAGGUAACUUAGUUUUAAUUGUAACGCCCCAACUUUUCUAGAAGGUUGAGGUCAUUACUAUUUAAGUAAAUAUAGAUUUUUUUAAUAAUAUAGAAAAUAAAUUAAAAUUUGAGGAAAAACUUUAAAUAAUAAGUAGUUAAAAUAACUGAUCAAAAUACCAGUUUGGGCCCAAAAAUAGAAGAAAUACUUAAAGUAAUUGAACCAGAGUUCUGAAAUAAACCUAUGAAAAUAUAACUAUUGAAAUAUAAAUGCGGAAGAAAACUGAAUUGUUUCCUAUGGCGAUCAUGAUCACUUCUUAUCAUUCGCUAUUAUGCCCUUGCCUCUACCCUUACCUGAAAUUAAACAUUUAAAAGAGUGAGUAUAAAUUUAUACUUAGUAAGAGACCCAUAGUGGUCUCACUAUGUGUCUGUUAACCUUUCGUUAGAGUCCUGUAACAUGGUACCGCAUACUAUUGCGCUCCCGAACGCAUACUAUCAAGUGGUUCCGUAGGGACACAUCUAGGCUCUCGGUGAACCCGAAGGAAUCAUCCUAUAGGAGAGUCAGACUGUAAGUGAUCCCGUCGAAUCACAUCUCAAACAAGUCACACAUGCAUACAUAGGUGGUGACCCUGAUGGACCCCCAUACGGUACAACUCUAAUAGGCAAAACUAACAGAACACUAUAGCCUAUACAUGUUUAUCAUAAGAUCAACAUCUUAGCUCAAUUACACAUAACUCAAAAGUAACAUAUUUGAUUAUAGCAUGCCUCAACAAAUAAUACUAUAUCUAAAUCAUAAUAGGUUUUCAAAGUAACUAUUUAUACGACCAUCUCAAACAACAUAAUUCAACUCAUUCCAGUGCUAACUCAUUUUAGACCCAAAACAAUAAUUAUUUGGGUGUACCAAACCAACGAGAAUUAAGCAAAAACUCACCAAGGGCUUAAAUAUGUUGCAGACGGCUAAAACUGAAGGUGGCUCGACUAACAACGCUUCAGCUCGAGUCUUGAGACUCACGGCUGGCAUACGACUCACACAGGAAUGGCUCGGUUGCGCGUGGCUCGCGUAUGGCUUACACGAAACGGCUCGGAUCCACAGAGAUGACUCACGAGGCUCGGUGAAGG